GACGAACGCUGGCGGCGUGCUUAACACAUGCAAGUCGAACGGAAAGACCCUGCUUUUGUGGUUUUCUCGAUUGGCGAACGCGUGCGUAACACGUGAGUAACGUGCCCUUGACUUUCGGAUAACUUCAGGAAACUGGGGCUAAUACCUGAUCGCAGCUCAUGCAGCAUUGUGGGGGUUGGAAAGUUUCGGCUGGUGGGGUUGGAUUGGCGGCUUAUCAGCUAGUUGGUGGGGUAGUGACUUACCAAGGCUUUGACGGGUAGCCGGCCUGAGAGGGUGACCGGCGACCCAGGGACUGAGAUAAGGCAGAGAGUCGUAAUGGAGGAAGCAGUGGGGAAUCCUGAACCAUGGGCGGAAGGCUGAUGCAGAAACGCCGCGGGUGGGAUAACGGCUUUGGUGGUAUAAAAAGCCUUCGGCUGUGACGCAGCGUGAGCGACGGUAAUGGGUAAAGAAGCAACGGCUAACUACGUG
rnacentral:rRNA from 1 species